GAUAAAAUCUCAUCGACGUCUCACCGCGGCACAGCACUGGCCGCCCGAGUCCCGCCGAAACUGAGCACUUGACAGGCAGUUUACCCGCGAUACCCGAGCACGCUCCAAUGCCGCCCGCCGCUAACCGAGGUAUAACGCCUAGAAAAGUCAAGUCACUCAACCUUGUUAGCAGAGUGAGGAUGGUGAACCCGUGCGAACGUCGCUCGAUAGCGUGCAUACUGCUCGCGAUCACUGCAGUAGUCGCUGCCGCCAGCUAUGACCGCGAGAGGCUUGAGAUAGCCAAGCAGAUACUUGAGGAAGUGCCGCUUACU